AUUGAACGCUGGCGGAAUGCUUUACACAUGCAAGUCGAACGGCAGCACGGGGGCAGCCCUGGUGGCGAGUGGCGAACGGGUGAGUAAUACAUCGGAACGUGCCCGGUCGUGGGGGAUAACGUAGCGAAAGUUACGCUAAUACCGCAUACGAUCUGAGGAUGAAAGCGGGGGACCAUCGGGCCUCGCGCGAUCGGAGCGGCCGAUGUCAGAUUAGGUAGUUGGUGGGGUAAAGGCCUACCAAGCCGACGAUCUGUAGCUGGUCUGAGAGGACGACCAGCCACACUGGGACUGAGACACGGCCCAGACUCCUACGGGAGGCAGCAGUGGGGAAUUUUGGACAAUGGGCGCAAGCCUGAUCCAGCCAUUCCGCGUGCAGGACGAAGGCCUUCGGGUUGUAAACUGCUUUUGUACGGAACGAAAAGGCUCUGGCUAAUACCUGGGGCUCAUGACGGUACCGUAAGAAUAAGCACCGGCUAACUACGUG
rnacentral:rRNA from 1 species